GUUGCUGCUUGUCUAUGAUCAACAGUAAAUUGGUUGUCGCCGUCCCUGAGAUUCAUGUUUCAUUCUGGAUUGUUAAAUUCCUCCUUACAGAGUGAUGAAAAGGUCUGAACCAGUAGAAUUGAAGAUUGUAUUCAUUUGAAAGUGAAACAUCUAUUGGCUGCGACUAAUUUACUUGGAUUUGUUAUUACUUUGGAUUUUAACAGUUCUCAAAAUAAGAAUGAAGAAUCAAGCAAGAUGAAUAUUUUGUCAUCAUGCAUUCAGGCAUUAAAUAUUUUCCUUCUUUUUUGAAAGGCAGUAUUGGCCACCUCAUGAACCACUUUAAAUGCUUGUCCACUUCAUCUGUAAGAUUUUGUAGUCAAACAAAGCAACAGGUAUUUUUCUUUACAUGUUUUAGAAAUGUAUGCAUUGUUCCUUAUUCCCAGGGAAGGAUUCAGUCAUGGAGGCUUUUUGCUUGCAAGGAUCUUCUGAAAGCAGAGCAAAAGAACUGGAAGGUUUGUUCAGCAAACUACAUAGAUUUGAAAGAGAGGAUUAAACAAAAAUUGGAAAAAUACUAUGACAGCCAUUCAUCAGUUCUAAAUAGACUGAUGAUUACGUUUGGAGACUAUAUUUACUUUGAAGAGAAUGGCUGCAUAUUUCGUUCAAAGCUAGGAGAAGUAGAUGAAGAGAACUACGAAGCAUUACUUAGCACAGAAGCGCUACCAUUUGAAAAUUCUUUCAUCCACAAAAUCCGAAUUUCCUCAGAUCAUGGAUAUAUGGCUACUGGAAUUAAAAGUGCCAGCUCUGAAGAAUGUGCUUGUAUUAUUGUGAAACUACAUCCAAUAUCAAAAGUGGAAUGUGUUAUCCCAAAUGCAUUUAGCUUCGAAUGGGCUACACAUGAGCUUCUGUUCUAUACCAUCCAAAAGAAUCUUCAGUGUCAUACUGUAUACUUGUCUGAUUUUAAUAAAAAGCAUUCUGAAUUGGUGUAUACAGAAAGUGACGCAAGGUACUUUGUAGAUCUCUACCGCACAAAGGAUAAACAUUUUAUUACUAUAAAUAGUAAUAGCAAGACCACUUCUGAAGUAUGGUUGGUAGACUGUCAUCACCCUUUUAAAUCUCCUGUUCUUGUCCAGAAACGAACCAAAAAUAUCAUUUAUCAUGUUGAACAUCGAAAUAAUGAGCUAUAUAUUCCUACUACAUAUGGUAACCCUGUGGGGUACAAGCUGAUGAAAGCUCCAGUUGGUUCAUGUGGUUUGGAGAAUUGGCAGCCCAUUUACACAGUAAAAGAAAACACCAAAUUAAUCGACUUAGAUAUGUAUAGAGAUCAUUGUGUGAUCUUUCUAAAACUUGGUGGUGAGAUUUAUUUGGAUAUUAUUUCUCUGGUAUCAAAUACAGUUGAAAAUGUUAAGCUACCUGCUUGGGCCUGUUCACUAGAAUUGGAACCUAAUUCUGACUAUACUGCCAACACUUGCUAUUUUUGGCUCAUGUCUCCUCUUCAGUCUCCAGUUCGUUUUGCAUAUUCAUUGAUGGAAAAGAGCCUUAUUGAAUUUACUGAGCAAGAAGUACCAAUUACAGAAAAUUAUAAAACUGUACGUCUAGAAGCUAAGAGCAAGGAUAAAACUUGGGUACCAAUUACAGUUUUUUAUAAAAACAAUUCUACACAGCUGCACAAGAUGCCACUUCUGGUUCAUGUCUAUGGAGCUUAUGGAAUAGAUUUGAACAUGACAUUUAAAGCAGAGAAUCUAAUGUUAAUCAAAGAUGGAUGGAUAUUAGCUUUUUGUCAUGUUAGGGGUGGAGGAGAAUUGGGCUUGAGAUGGCACAAAGAUGGUUGUAUGAUGAAGAAACACAAUGGUAUCCAAGACCUCCAGGCCUGCAUCAUGUUAUUGCAUGAACUUGGAUAUUCUCAGCCUAUGCAAACAGCCUUAAGGAGCAUGAGUGCUGGAGGAGUUCUUGCAGGUGCCCUCUGCAAUUUUGCACCUCAUCUUAUCAGAGUUGUGGUUUUACAGGCACCUUUUCUGGAUAUUUUAAAUACAAUGCUGGACCCUUAUCUUCCCUUGACUAUUGAGGAACAAGAAGAAUGGGGAGAUCCUGUGGGAGAUGAGUCCAACAAAGAAUAUAUUAAAAGUUAUUGUCCAUACCAAAAUAUUAAGCCACAGGAGCUCAAAUGCCUAAUAUUAUCUUAGAUGUUCAGCCAGGAGGCAGCCAUUGUUCUCCAACGUAUGAGGAUUCCUUAAAACAGGUUGCAACACAACUAGCAUUUCUAUAUAGUGAGGUUGGACUUGACAAGCAGGAGUAAAGCCAGGCUGGAAUUUUUGUCCUUUUUGCAAAAGAAAGGGAAACGAUUCAGCUAAAUAUUACCUGCCGAAGUGACUUCUUGAGAACUUUUUAACUUAUUUUGGAAACUAAAUUUAUCCGGUGUUUGCCUGAGGAAAAGACAAGACACUUCUCCAAGUUCAGACGGUUUUGUUCACCUCAAUAAAAUUAUUUUUUGUUUGAAUUUGUCUUCCUUUCCUAUAUUGAAAUAUAUGCAAAUGGCUCGUAAGCAAUAAGCAGAAAGCAGAAAGUACAACCAAAUUAAGGGGCUAAAAAUCAGCAGUUAAAACUGAUCAAUUUAAAGCAAUGCUUCAAUAAAAUUAUUUUCAUCAUUUACUGAAAAACAGGCUGUGAAGGCUAAGUUCUUUUUAGGAAAGUUAUUCUAAAAUCUAUGGCCAACAAGUGAAACAACCCUUUCUCUGCUGUUGACUGGAAUACAAGGAAAUAUUAUCUAUACCAGAAUAGUGUUUGCAGAGAGAGAAAUAAAACUAUAUUGUAUCUUGUUGCUCUUUGAUUUAAAGAUCAAACACAAACCCUGAAGUGAACCUGGAAAGAAGCUGACAAGUGCAGGAUUGAAUUGGUAUAUUCCAGUGCCUUCUAUUCUUCAAGAAUCCUAGCACCUGCAGUCUGGACCAGUCCAUUUUUGCAGAUUGUCCUGAAAGUCAGGUUUAUCUAGACUAGAGCAUAUUAUAGAAUCCAAUGUAGUAUUAAUAUUAUAUGAGAAUUUAUUUUUCUUAUUUUAAAGUUUAAACUUACCAUCAUCUCUUUAUCCCCGCAUUAGAUAAGAAACAAAAUGUAAGGUACAUAUUUA